UUCGGCUGAGGCUGGGAUCUGGAACAAAGAGGCCCUGGCAGCCAAUGGCAGCGGGGCAGUGCCAGGAAGCCGCCAAUCAGCGCGCGCCGCACGCACCUUCGCGGCCGGAGCAAGGGCAAAGAGGAGCCAUGGAGCUCCUUCGGCAUACCAGGAUAUACCAGGAACCUGAUAUUCAAGCCUUGAUUUCACUACUGAAUUGUGAAGAUGUCCCUUUCUCAAAUGUUUUUCUCCAGAGUCCCGAACACUGCCGAAGAAUCCUCCCUGACACCCUACAUGCCAAUGAAGAUUGCUACAUUGUGAGCAAGUAAGGCUCACACAAACUUCUGCAGAAGUGAGUGGUAUAUUUGUUUGGGAAACAGAAGCUUGCCUUUUGUGCCUACUAAGUGUAAUAAGGCGAGGUUGCCCCUGCUUCUCGUGAAGUCCGGUUUCAAACGCCAGUCUCACAGAAGCCUGAACCACUGGAAGCCAGUCCGCUUCAUACCCUCAUUCAAGAGCAAAUGCAAUGAAGACCCUCACCUUGGAGAGACUGGGUGGGGUGUAGGGAUUAAUUCACUUCACACAUUUUGCUGGGAACUGAAGGCCCCAAAGACAUGUCAAAUGUCUUGGCAUGUUGGGGGCAGAGCUCCCGCAUGAGUCACAGUAACUUCUCCAGGAUGUGGACCUGAGGGAAAGAAGCGUUUUGAUUUAGGCAAAUCAACGUUUUUUAUUACAUGUCUAUGAAUGAGCAUGUGCAGUUGUGAGUGCAGGCUCACUUACAGUCCAGAAGGAUGGCUGGGAUGUUAUGAGGUUGGAGUUACCGGUUGCUGGGAGCCUCCUGAAUUGGGCUCUGGGAACUGGAAUCAGGUCCUCUGCAAGAGCCGCAGAAGCCCUUAAUACCUCAACCAUUUCUCCAGCCCCGAGCAAUUUUCUUCAGUUCCUACUUGUAGUAGAAAGUGUUAAUGGCUAGGUGUCAGAUAGUGCCCUAAUCUGGCAUCUACAGUAUGCAUGUAUAUAUGUCUCUCUAAGUAAGUAUACAUUCAAUAUUAAAUAUAAAAUCUCCAUACAAUGGGCGUGCUUGA